AUGGUCUCUUUCAUUUAUAUGUGUAGACAAUGUUUGGAUCCUAUAAUCUGCAGAUGUCUACUGCUUGGAAGUUUCAUAACAAGUAAGUCAAUGGUUUCUUUCUUUUCCUCUAUGGUACUCUCUCUCUCUCUCUCUCUCUCUCUCUCUCUCUCUCUCAAGUUUUUCUUAUAUUAUUAUGCGCCUUGGCCCUUUGGGUCUUUACUCUCACUGUUAGCUCCAGUACUUUGGUCCUUUUUUGAAGUUUUAAUUGGUUUAGCCUGAAGCAGAAAUAAAGUGGGCUUUAUUUCUAUGAUAUAUUUAUUUAUAUGAUCUUUAUGUUUUAGUUUGCUGAAGAUUCACUUCUUAGCCUCCUCGAACAACCAAAUUUUGUUGUUAUUUCUUCUGCAUAUAUUGUCUAUUUGCCUUUUCUUUUCUUUUUCAACUGUAACUAGUUGCUGAUGAAGAUGUUCAUGAUGAAAAUUGGGUUUUAAUCAUUUAGUGUAUAUACUAGCUAGAUUUCAUGAAGUGGACAUUUUGUUGUUGUUUAUUUUCAUUUUAGCUUUCUGGGAUUCAUGAGGUCAACAAUAAGGUGAAAAAUCUCUUUGUUUGAUAAUUUCUGCUCAGAGCAUGAAAAAACUUGUGAUUAGAGAUGAUUAGGGUGACUAAUUUGAGAAUAAGAAAAAAUUAUUAGCAUUCUAAUAACCUUUUCUUUGAAGAAUGGAAAGGAUUAUAUAUAUGGUUGCUCAGAAUUAGCUACUGUUUGGUUUUGGGUAUUUCUAAAUGGCAAAAGCUCGCAAUAUACUGAACUAGUUUGUUGCAUAAUUAGCCUCUCCAAUAUGAAAAACUGAAGAAAAAUAAUUCAAUGCCUGUUUUGUCUGUGAUGUGUGCAGAUGUUGCUUUCAUUGAUUUGAGCGCUAGAGUGAGAAAGUGGUGUCCAGUACAAAGUGCAGUUGCAUGGUGGUGGGUUUUUAAUUACUUGAGCUUAAUUUAUUGGCUUCUAUGUGAAUGUCAGAAAGCAACUCAAGUAGUCUCAGCAGGAACAUUGAUUAAUUUGCAUGGUGGGAUUUGCUUUAUUGGUAAUGCAUGUCAGAAAAGAAACGGGUGA
rnacentral:lncRNA from 1 species